UGCGAAUGAGAAUAACCUACUUAAGGGUAACUCUUUACGCAAAAAGGAGGUUCUGUAAUACCUUAUCCUGAAUUUAAGAAACCUUGAAGCUCAUUUUACUACAUAACGGAAACACGGCUGAAAAGCGUUGUGAACAAAUAGCCGAAGUUCACCUUUUCUUCAAAUAUUCAAUGUCUUUCAGUUCCAGAGCUCUCCGAAAUUCAGAACGACAGAUUCAAACGUGGCCCAGCUAUGGCUGGACUGGAAAACUUAGACUUUAUGACUGGAAUAUUUUCAAGGCUGCCUUUUAGAACGAAUGCUGCAUUGUCAGACAUACGCGAACGUAUGCGUGCAGCUGGUCGAAAACGAAAAUAAAAAAGAAAGAAGAUUAGGACAAACAUACAUCACGAUGACAGAUCGGUACGAACAACUGUUAUAUAUACUGUGCAUGUACAUCGAUGGAGUCUUUCUAAAAUGGUUAAUUGAUAUCGUAUUUUUUAUAGGAAACGGGACACUUACGACUUUUCAAGUUAUAUAUUAAAUUAUCAUUAGGCAUAAUGAAAAUGCUAUAUUCUAACAGGAGCAAACAUAUACUUCGCAACACACCAAAUCUCCAGUUAUAAAGAAAGCAAUAGUCAUGAAUUGUGUAUAUGGUGCGAUUGCAAGACUUCUUUGUUAAUAUGGAACUAAUUUAAAAGUGACACAUUACUUAUAGUGACAAAAUUCCUUAUACUUCUAGUUUUUAUACUUUUAAAUUGUACCGUUAAAUUGUUAACAUGACAGUGAUGUUUUGUUUAUUGUUAUUUCUUUGAUUGACGAAUUACUUAUAACGUGUUCAUUUCAUAUUAAUGUAUAUAAGUUAAGAACGUUCCGAUGAGCAUGUUCUAAUGGAGAGAUGGACAGAUAGAUUUACGUAUUAUAAAGUAAUAAAGCCAGUUGUGGACAGAAACUUAAUGAUUUCUUUGUGACACAGCUAGUUACAGUCAAACUCGCUUUAUACGAACUCUUCGGGACCUUUGAAAUAUGCUCGUGUCAAACGAAAUUCGUAUUAACGAAUGUAUGACUCCCGGAUAAUUUGCCCGAGCAAGUAGGGCAGUAUCACCGGUAUCGCCGGUGAAUAGCUUCUGAUAAAUAAAAAUACAGUAGUGAAUAGAUGUUCAUUAGUAGUUUUAAUUGAUCAAGUGAGUGUAUUCAGUUAACAGUGAAACAAGUCAACAAAAUUCAUACUUAAACACGUAAAAAUGUAUGAAAAAUAAAUUUUAAUGUACAAAUGUAUUGAAUCAUCAAGUGUUUAUAGCACAUAUAGAUCUAGCACAUAUAGAUACACAGGAAACGUACAAUGAAAUUAUAUUUUCAUGGACAGGUGUACAAAUGACAGUGAUUAUCGCUCAACUGCUAAAGACAUUAUUACUUGAACUCGAUUGUGAUGAAUAAAAUAACUGCAUGCAUAGUGUUAAUCUCUUUAUUAUGUAUUUAUCGAUUACAGGUGAUAAUCACUUCGACUAAAUAUCGGCACUGUACGGAUUCAAACUGUUAAAAGAUCAAGCGAAGCAAAAAUAUGGCCGCCGACAUCUAAAAAUAGUUCGUAUCAAAAAAUGGAAACUUGUAACAUUUUAGCUCAUUGGGACUUCCAAAAUGUGUUCGUAUCUCCCGAAAAUUCGUAUGAAGCGAGUUCGCUAUUACCGAAAUAAUUUUACAAAGAAAUAGAAGGACUCAGCCGGGGAAUCCGGGUUUUGUUCGUUUUUGCCGAAAAUUCGUAUCAAGCGAGUUCGUAUUAAGUGGACUCGACUGUAUUUCAAAGUGGCCAAGUAACCAUAGAAACGGAAUUCCAACGGUCUGUUUCAUUAUUUCAGUAUAUUUGGUACAUUAGUUCUCUUUAUCCCACGUAAAAGGUAAAGCAAACAAAAACAGUUGUAUAUAGCUUAUAAGACCGGAGGACAUGUGCGUCAAAGUUACGCGUAAACAGCCCGCUGAAGUGUCUCAGAAACUCCCUAAGUUCGGUAUGUUACUAAUUCAACCUGUUGUACUAUAAAAACUAUUCAUUUUUGUUGACUUUUUGUCUAACUGCAUGCAAAAGUAUUUCUCUAAUGAACUGUAGAGGACUUAUUUCGUGAAUUUCGUGGUUGAGUCAUGAGUGAAAUAUACCAAAGCCUAAUGAACAUGCAGAAUUUCCAUUCAUUUUGUCUACGCGAAUUAAUAUCCCAAUGAAAUUGUCAUUUCGGCCAUGACACUUCAUAACAAAGAAAUGUAAUGAUUUUACAUAUAUGAGAACUUUGGCGUUAUUUUGGUCAAACAUGAAUACCAUGAAGAGAUUUUGUCAAAAUGCUAUUAAAAGCAUUACAAGAGUUCUAUUACAAGCAUACGACUGUUCCACUCUUUGUAAAUACUAAUGUACCAUGCAAUCUCAUAAAAAAUGGUAGCUUUAACUGAAAACAUUUUUAUGGAAAAAAAAAAUUGUUUAAUUUGCACAUAACAAAAACAAGAUUAUUAAUUGUCUAACAAUAAAAUUAACAAGUACACUUUGUAGAUCAAGGAUCAUGUAUGUGAAGUGUUGUGGAUUCUAUUGGAUAACACUUUGAAAAACAAUGGCAUAGAAUUUUUAGACGAAUAAGCAGUUUCCCAUUUGAACCUAAUUUUGUUCCACUCAUUAUUCAUUUUUAGACUUCUAUGAACGAUGUUCUAGGAACACGUAUAAGCACAGACUUUAAUCAUUUACAAUAUUAUUGAAGAUGAUAAUUCUAAAUUAAAUAAUCAAAAGAUUAUUAAAAGAGAUAAGAGAUUUGAUAAACAAGAACUGGUGCAUAUUUUCUUAGAGUCAUGCCGCCAAUAAAGCAGCCAGGAUGGAACUACGGACAUGUGAAACUGUAUACACGUACAUAGUGGCUGAGCACAUGUACACGGUGACACAAUCGAAUGCAAUAAUAACAAAGAAGUUACCAAAAAAAUCAUAAAACAUACAUGAAGAAGAUACACAGUAGGAUACCGCCUUUACACGGUCACUGGCAAAAACAGCAAUAGGGAGUUUAAUUUAGUUUACUGGCGCCAAACCUCACCCUAAACCCUACCAUGUUACUUUUUAACAAGCCAGUGUGCCCACCCGUUGAAUCCCUAACCUCUCCCGAAUUUCGCUUUGCUAUGCUUUAAAUAUAUUCAAUAUUGUUCUUUACUAAAUGUGUCAUUUAUUUGCCUUUUUGUAGUAAUUGCUACCAUUUCUAGAGAAUUACAAUCAAUCCUAAAACUUA